AUUGAACGCUGGCGGCAGGCCUAACACAUGCAAGUCGAACGAGUGGCGGACGGGUGAGUAAUGUCUGGGAAACUGCCUGAUGGAGGGGGAUAACUACUGGAAACGGUCACUAAUCCCGCCUACCAUCGGAUGUGCCCAGAUGGGAUUAGCUAGUAGGUGGGGUAAAGGCUCACCUAGGCGACGAUCCCUAGCUGGGCUGAGAGGAUGACCAGCCACACUGGAAAUUGGGCACGGGCCAGACUCCUCCGGGAGGCAGCAGUGGGGAAGAUUGCACAAUGGGCGCAAGCCUGAGGCAGCCAGGCGGCGUGGAUGAAGAAGGCCUUGGGGUGGUAAAGUACUUUAAGCGGGGAGGCGUUACCCGCAGAAGAAGCACCGGCUAACUACGUGCCAGCAGCCGCGGUAAUAC
rnacentral:rRNA from 1 species